rnacentral:rRNA from 1 species
UGCAACUCGCCUGCAUGAAGCUGGAAUUGCUAGUAAUCGCGGAUCAGCAAGCCGCGGUGAAUACGUUCCCGGGCCUUGUACACACCGCCCGUCACACCAUGAGAGUCGGGAACACCCGAAGUCCGUAGUCUAACCGCAAGGGGGGCGCGGCCGAAGGUGGGUCCGGUAAUUGGGGUGAAGUCGUAACAAGGUAUC